GUGGGGAAUAUUCCGCAAUGGACGAAAGUCUGACGGAGCAACGCCGCGUGAGUGAUGAAGGUUUUCGGACUGUAAAGCUCUGUUGUUUGGGACGAAAGUGCCUGUUGCGAACAGUUACGGGUAUUGACGGUACUAAACGAGGAAGCCACGGCUAACUACGUGCCAGCAGCCGCGGUAAUACGUAGGUGGCAAGCGUUGUCCGGAAUUAUUGGGCGUAAAGAGCAUGUAGGCGGGAAUCUAAGUCUGUUGUUAAAAUGCGGGGCUCAACCCCGUAUUGCGAUGGAAACUGGGUUUCUUGAGUGCAGGAGAGGAAAGGGGAAUUCCCAGUGUAGCGGUGAAAUGCGUAGAUAUUGGGAGGAACACCAGUGGCGAAGGCGGCUCACUGGUCCAUUACUGACGCUGAGGUGCGAAAGCGUGGGGAGCAAACAGGAUUAGAAACCCUGGUAGUCC
rnacentral:rRNA from 1 species